UUCUUUUAUCCUUGCUGUAGGUAUGAUGGCCAACGAGCUCAGAUUUUGUGCUCUUGCAUCCCCCAUGUGGGCUGGAUGAAUCACCAUGGAAUGAACCUGGAAUUUUAACUGCUAGAAAGGAUUUAGACUACAUUGGAUGAGAAGAACUGUUGGAAGCCUUGAAGAGGCAAAAGGGUACGUUUGAAACCGGUCAAGAAGAUAGUAAUGAAAUUCCGGAGGAGUUAAAGCUGAGGUUGGCAUACAGGGAAGCAGCUGUGGCUGUUCUUGCAUGCUACAAUCCAAAUCCUCACCGUCCUUUCACUGAGACUAAUAUUCGUUCCAUUCGCAGCAAGCCAAAUAUGCGUUAUGUUGAGACUCCUGGAAGGUUUUAUUGAGGAUGUCAGAUUAUGUUGAAUCUAUAGUCCGUGCAUGUGCCCGUAAGUCUUAUAUGUCUCUUUCCUUUAAUUACUCUUUUUUUUUUGUCCUUGUG